rnacentral:snRNA from 1 species
AGUCUCUGGUUUUUCUUCAGAUUGCAUAAAUCUUUUGCCUUUUACUAAGGAUUUCUGUGGAGAGGAACAUUUAUGAGUUUCCAGCUAG